rnacentral:rRNA from 1 species
GAUAUGGCUCAGGAUGAACGCUAGCUACAGGCUUAACACAUGCAAGUCGAGGGGCAUCAGGAAGAAGGCUUGCUUUCUUUGCUGGCGACCGGCGCACGGGUGAGUAACACGUAUCCAACCUACCCUUUACUCGGGGAUAGCCUUUCGAAAGAAAGAUUAAUACCCGAUGGCAUAAUGAUUCCGCAUGGUUUCAUUAUUAAAGGAUUCCGGUAAAAGGAGUGGGGAUGUCCGUUACCUAGUUUAGGUUUGUUGGUGAGGUACG